CCGCGAACUUCUAAACCUUUGACGAUUGACUCAUGUUGCCUCGGCGGGUUCUCCCGCCAGAGGAUAGAUCAAAACUCCUGUUUUAACGGUGUUGUCUGAGCUACAAGCAACGAAUCAAAACUUUCAACAACGGACCUCUUGGUUCUGGCAUCGAUGAAGAACGCAGCGAAAUGCGAUAAGUAGUGUGAAUUGCAGAAUUCAGUGAAUCAUCGAAUCUUUGAACGCACAUUGCGCCCCUUGGUAUCCCGAGGGGCAUGCCUGUUCGAGCGUCAUUUCACCACUCAAGCCUGGCUUGGUGUUGGGCGACGUCCCCUUUGGGGACGCGCCUCGAAACGCUCGGCGGCGUGGCACCGGCUUUAAGCGUAGCAGAAUCUUUCGCUUUGGAAGUCGGGGCCCCGUCUGCCGGAAGACCUACUCGCAAGGUUGACCUCGGAUCAGGCAGGGAUACCCGCUGAACUUAAGCAUAUCAAUAAGCGGAGGAA
rnacentral:rRNA from 1 species